rnacentral:rRNA from 1 species
UACGUAGGGGGCUAGCGUUGUCCGGAAUCAUUGGGCGUAAAGAGCGUGUAGGCGGCUAGAUAGGUCCGUUGUGAAAACUCGAGGCUCAACCUCGAGACGUCGAUGGAAACCAUCUGGCUAGAGUCCGGAAGAGGAGAGUGGAAUUCCUGGUGUAGCGGUGAAAUGCGCAGAUAUCAGGAAGAACACCCGUGGCGAAGGCGGCUCACUGGCCCGAUACUGACGCUGAGGCACGAAAGCGUGGGGAGCAAACAGG